UUUUUGACCUUGAUGUGGCAUAUCUCUUUAGCCAGAGAAUUGUGAUUUGGGCGCCAUUUUCCUUCUUCCUAUAUACGCUUUUCUUCAAUUUGGUAACCUAAUCAAUUCUCUCAAUCAAUUGAAGACAAAUUGAUUUCUCUUUAAAUCUCAAAACCUAAUCAAAUUGAUUUCUGCAGGCUAUCAUCUUUCACCCACAUUCAAUUUUACAAACCCUAAAUCUCAUCUACGGCUUCAUCUUUAGCGAUUGUACUUGGCCAUACCCACUUCAGAAAUCCCUAAAACUCAAUCAUUCGAACUCUCAUCUAGCUUUCAUUGAAUUCAGUGCUAAGAACCCAAAAUCUAUAGAACCGGGCGAACAUUGAUAUGAUAGUGGCCUAUAUUAGGUUGGCCAUAGUUCAAGCUGGAGGUUUUCAGAUCAUCUUUAUGCUUUUGAGGUAUACACAGAGAUAAAGUACUUGGGGUUGGGACCUUCUUUUAAAAAGAUAGAUGAUUUAUUGUUUUUUCCCAUGUUUAAAGAUUGCAUUUAUCUUGCUCUCCAAAUAAUUUUUUUUCUAAAUCUGAGUUUUUUCACAAUAAAAAGCUGCCUUUCCAACUGUUACAAAAGUUUGUUGUGGUGUGUCGAUGAAGUUGCGAGAUGGUGGUCAUUGGGACUGCCUUAUUAAUCUUGGUGCCUUUGAUUAUCCUCUUAUCACGCAAGAAAGUAAUUAACUAAUUUGUUAUUUUGUUUUGAAGUUUUGUUAUUUUGUUUUGAGUUUUUCUUAAUUUGCAACAUUGCGUUUAUAUUUUUGUGUGUGUUUCAGAUCUGAUUCAUACAUUUUCUUCACUACAGAGAGAUUUUAAUUUUAUUGAUCAUACAAGUAUUCCCGGAUGGAAAGAAUAAGGUUCUUAAUGUUUUCGUUACUUUUAGUGUGUUAUGUGUUGUUUUUUUGGGCUGAUGAUUUGUAAUUUGGGAUGAUCUUAUAUGAGUUUUGUUUAGAUAAAGUUGAUUGGUAAAGUUUGAGAUGCAUUGUUUGAAAGAAGCAAUCUGAAUCAUCUCUCUCAGAUCCUAUAUCGCAUAUGCUAAUGAUUUUUAAUCGACUUUGGUGAUUCGACUUGGUCACACUUUGCCACAAACGGGUCAAAUGGUUAAAUUUUCAUGGGCUUUUGGAAAUAAUGUCCAAGAAUUCAAUGAUUUGAAACGAGGAUCCUGCACUUCGUCAGGAAAUCGACCUUGAAGAUGAAAGAGUUGCAGGCACAUUGCAUUCUGUAUAGAUUGUGGAGUUUUAAUUGUAAAGGUUUACACCUGUGUUGCAAAACUCAAAUUAUAUGGCCUUUUGCUACAUCUUGCCGUAUAGCAUAGGCAUUAGGUAAAAAGAGUUAUCCGAUGAGAAACCAAAGGGCAAGGCAACCAUACAUUAUCAGCUUCGGCUUGCAGGUGGUAACUUUGUUCUAAGUGGUGACAAUCAUGGGAGAAGGAUAUCAACAUGAAAGAAAUGGAACAACAGUUGCAUGAGCAUGUGGGUCUACUAAGACAGAAUGAAUUAAUAAGAAUAAAUGCCAAGAAGGAGCUUAAAGAAAUGGAACUACAGUCACGAUUGGAUUGGCCUCAUAUGAUGAGGUAACAUUUCACAAUAAUAAUCAAAUAGAUAUAAUAAUUUACUACUUAUAUAUUUUUUUGGAACAAGGUGACUCUAUAUCACUGAGACAACCUUUAUCCACAUGCCAUUAAUCUCUUUUUCAAAAUUUGGAUCUCAAACCUUUUAUUUGGACUUUGUUUUAUAAGCAUUUAACGCCCCGUUUGCGGUAUGCGCCUAUAAUGUAUAUAUGUGUGGGCGUUCGGGGUGCAAAAGUGAAAGUACACUAAUUUUAACAUUAUUUUACUAAUUUCGUGAAAGUAACGUUAAAAAGGGAGAUGGUUAAUUAUGCAUCAUGUGGUGGCGUUGAUAGCCGAAAGACAAGGGGGUACAUGCACUAAUCGGCCUUUGUCUCAAUUGUUGAGUGUUAUGUGCCUUAUGUCCAAAGCUUGACGCAAAACUACUAUUUAGCCAGGGGUCUCACUGGAAGCAGCCGCUUUAUUCCUAUGGGGUAGAGGUAAGGCGGUCUACAUCUUACCUUUCCUAUACCCUACCUUAGAUUUGCUAUUGGCGGGAUUUACUAAGUAUGAUGAUGAUGAUGAUCAUUUUAUACGCAUUUAAAAUGUCAAUGUGGGUUAAUCGAUUUAUUGCUUUAGUUUAUAUAUGCAUCUAAAAUGUCAAUCAUUCUUUAUUCUUUAUGAAUUCCUUCUUCAAUUUAUUAUUUUAGGUUAAGAAUAACUAUUUUAUAACAAGUGAAAAAUAUGUAUAAUGAAGCUUACAAAGUAUCAUGUGAAAAAUAUGUUAUAUUUUUCCUAGGCUAUGGCCUCUGCACCUAUCUUUAUUCUUUCAUGCUUGACUAUGUAUAAUGAACUAUGUAUAUUGUCAUAAUUUCACAUAAAAGAAAUAGCGAUAUCUAAUUCUCUUGGUGUUAAUGAGCUGGUGAUUCCUGCAAUACCUGAACUUUACAAAACAUGGACCAAAGUGCUUGGCUUCAAGCAACUUGAUGAAUCGUCGAGGCAUGCAAUGAAGGUGCAGGUGAGUUAUGAUAUAUUGUAUUUUAUCUGCUCUUGAGUUGCCAAAACGGGUGGGAUAGGUAAUGGUCACUGACUCUGACUCUAAGCUGGUAACUUUCGGUAAGACAGAAAUGGACCGGGUUGGGUCAGAUGGGCUGACUUGCCAGCAUUUUUUGGAUGCUAUUAGUUAUUACUGUAUUAAAUAUGAUUACAAAAGCUAUAUUAUCAAUGUAAUCCAAAUUUUGAAUAAAACAAUUUUGGUUAUAAUAAUUUAAAAAAACUUUUGACGACUAAUGAGAUUUAACCGUUUUCUUUUUAUUUACUUGCUCUCAGUUAUUUUCAUCUGUUAUCGUCAACUAAUUUGUUUAGGAAAACCGGCCAUAGUUGCUACCUGUAGGCUGUAGCUGAUUUUAGUUAUAAUUGAUUAGCAACUUUUUAUACAUGAACUAGGAGAGGCAAACAAGUGAGUAAAAUUUUUAAAUUUCUUUUUUUUUGUUGUGAAAAAUAUUUAGUAUUUUCAAGGAAUGAAGUAGUUGAUAAGUUAAUUAUAUUAGGUUGAGAUAAAGAUGGCUGAGCCGAAAAGGUUGGUGUCGAUUUCUCAUACGACAACCAUUCACGUUGUGGUAGUGUUAUCAAGUCAUACGGUGGUGGAUUUGGUAGGGGUUGGUGGUUAUGGCGGAAAAUCAGAGAGGGUAUAAUGAUUAUGGCAGUGGUUAUCACAGUUAUGUGGGAGGUUAUAAUGGUGGUUCUACAGUGGUUAUGGUGGAUAUGGGUAUGGGUUUGGGUUUGGUGGAUAUGGUUACGGCGGUGAUGGAUAUGUAGUUGGUUUUAGUGGUUAUGGAGGGAAUGCUGACUAUGGUGGAGGUCGGGGUUAUGGUACUGGUAGUGGAGGAGGUGGUGGUGUUGGUGGCAAAUGAUUUCAUAAGGGAGCUUGUGCUGCUGCUGGAUAUGGAUAUGGAUGGUAGUAAAGGGUAUGAUAAUGACAAUGGUGGCAGUGGUGGUGGAAGGCAUCAUCCUUAUCGGAAGUGAGAUGAUAUGAUAAUAGCAACUUAUUAUAUCAUCAAAGUUCGAGGACUUUGUAGCUUUUGUCAUCUGCUUUGUUCUAUGUGAAUCUUCUUGACCUGUGAUCUAUUAGUAACUUAGAAACUGAGUCAUGGAGUCGAAUUUGUUACCUACAUAACUAUCUUCUGUAUUGCCCCUAGAUCAUUUACAAUUAUAAAUGUAAAUGAUUUAUUUUAGUUUUUGUACAUCAUUUUUUUUGUUGA